rnacentral:rRNA from 1 species
ACGUGCCGGUGACAAACCGGAGGAAGGUGGGGAUGACGUCAAGUCAUCAUGGCCCUUACGGCCUGGGCUACACACGUGCUACAAUGGUCGGUACAAAGGGUUGCCAAGCCGCGAGGUGGAGCUAAUCCCAUAAAACCGAUCGUAGUCCGGAUCGCAGUCUGCAACUCGACUGCGUGAAGUCGGAAUCGCUAGUAAUCGUGAAUCAGAAUGUCACGGUGAAUACGUUCCCGGGCCUU